rnacentral:misc_RNA from 1 species
AACUAGUUUUCAAUAGUCGGAAACUUCAGAAAUGUUGUUGUAUUGGUGGAUGAUAUAAGAUUUCAUUAUUUCCUGAUUAUUUUGGAGCUAUUUCCCUAUUGGAACAACCAGUCUUCAACAUGUCGUCCAUAAGAUCAAUUGCAAGACAUUUGAAGCCCGGUCUGAGGGUUCUAGGCUUCAAUAAAGGAGUGCUGGGUUCGGUUAGAAAUGCGGCACAUUUCACAUAUUUUCCAGAUACCGUUUCAGAAGCUCAAGGGGAGACCACUCGGAUGAACCUGUUCCAGUCAGUGAACAGUGCCCUGGACACGGCUCUAGCCACAGACAGCACCGCGGUCAUCUUCGGAGAGGACGUCGGCUUCGGCGGCGUGUUCCGCUGCACCAUCGGCCUGCAGGACAAACACGGCAAGGACCGGGUGUUCAACACGCCGCUCUGUGAGCAAGGUAUCGCCGCGUUCGGCAUCGGUCUGGCGGCCGCCGGCGCCACGGCCAUCGCCGAGAUUCAGUUUGCCGACUACAUCUUCCCCGCCUUCGAUCAGAUAGUGAACGAGGCCGCCAAAUUCCGGUACCGCUCGGGUGGUCUGUUCAACUGCGGCAAGCUGACGAUCCGCGCCCCGUGCUCCGCCGUCGGUCACGGCGCGCUCUAUCACUCUCAGUCGCCCGAGGCGUUUUUCGCUCACGUGCCCGGCAUCAAGGUCGUUAUCCCCCGAGGGCCGAUAAAGGCCAAGGGCUUGCUGCUGGCCUGCAUCAGAGACCCGAACCCGUGCAUCUUCUUCGAGCCGAAGGUGCUCUAUCGUUCGGCAGUCGAGGAGGUGCCAGUGGCCGACUACACUGAGACCAUCGGAAGGGCAGACGUGCUCGUCGAAGGUGAUGACGUCACGCUGAUCGGCUGGGGUACCCAGGUGCACGUUCUGCGCGAGGUGGCCGAUUUGGCUGCCGAGAGACUCAAUGUGUCGUGCGAGGUCAUUGACCUUGUCUCAAUCCUGCCUUGGGACCGAGACACCGUCUUCAAGUCGGUGUGUAAAACGGGCCGAUGUCUGAUCUCGCACGAGGCCCCUUUGACCGGCGGCUUUGGAGCCGAGCUGGCAGCCUCCAUUCAGACGGACUGUUUCCUGAACCUGGAGGCGCCCGUGCAGCGGGUGACCGGUCACGACACGCCGUUCCCGCACGUGCAUGAGCCGUUCUACAUGCCGACCAAGUGGCGCUGUCUGGAGGCCGUUAAAAAGCUGGUCAAUUAUUAACGGGUCAUGGCAGGGGCGCACCCAGGGGCGCGGCUAGAAACGCCGACAGAGGCGCUGGCAGGGAGGGACAGGAACCGACUGAAGGGUUGAGAAGGAUGCGGUAGAUACGCAUUCGUUAAAUGCUGCCAGAAGAACUUAUGGACGUCGAGGACAUUCAAUCGUUGGGUUGUGAUGGAUGGUUUGACCUUGUGCAAUCAUGAAGGGGAGAAGUGGACUUGCGAUUCAGGAAUGCGGGAAAAAUUCGCCUUGAGGUGUUCGUGAAUCAGAUUUGAUGAGUUUCUUGCUGAUUGGUUGUGGACUCAAUCCAUUUUCUUUCCGCGACUGUGACACACUGAAGACAAGAAUUUACUGGGAACAGCAGUGAACGGAUCGCCAUCAUCCGCUAAGGGACCGUGUGUCGCUUAUAACGUGUUGCACCUUCCGGUCGCAAAGCUGGGAAUGACCGGGGUAUUAGUGUCGUUUGACCUUUUAUAGGUUUGCAUUGGCCAGUCUGUUGGCUCAGACUUCUGAAGCUUCUGGUAGGGACUUGAGGGUGGAGGGUAGGCAUCUCACUAAACGCUGUAGGACUCUUGGCGUUUGGUAGCUCAGUGAAGCAGAACUGCGUCCGAUGUGUAGAUCCAGUGCAAUAUUAUGUAUCGAGUAGUGACUCGGUUCAGUGUGACGUUAAAUAACCAGUGAACUGUGCGACGCGUUUUACCGAAAUGGUGUUAGAGUGAUGAGGUUUUUGACAUGUGUUUGUGCGUUCUGUACUUGAUCGUGUUGUGUGAGUGGGAUAGGGGGGCUGUGAGCUCAGCUACGAAUUGGUGGCGCAACGUUCACAGUUGUCCGCGGCGGCGGUAAAAAUACAGCAAGUACGAGCGGG